rnacentral:rRNA from 1 species
CGGCGGACGGGUGAGUAACGCGUGGGGUAACCUGCCUCAUACAGGGGGAUAACAGUUAGAAAUGACUGCUAAUACCGCAUAAGCGCACAGGACCGCAUGGUCCGGUGUGAAAAACUCCGGUGGUAUGAGAUGGACCCGCGUCUGAUUAGCUGGUUGGUGAGGUAACGGCCCACCAAGGCGACGAUCAGUAGCCGACCUGAGAGGGUGGCCGGCCACAUUGGGACUGAGACACGGCCCAAACUCCUACGGAAGGCAGCAG